UGAGAUCAAAGGACUGGACACAGCCUCACCCUCUUGCCAAAGGCUCCACGGCCGUUCCCACAAGCCACCCGUUCGCCCGCAGCCCCUGCCUCUUCCCCCUUCCCUCGCCCGCUGCGGGACACGGGCAACAGGGUAAACCGAGGCCACGGCGCCAUCACCUGUCUCCGCGCUCCCCGAAAGCCGCUCUUCUCUCUGGAGGUCUUCGGCCACAGUUCCUGGGCAACCGAGAAGCCUGAAGCUAGGACGCUGGACUCGACUUCUCCUCUGGGCACACACUGGCAAGCGAGUCAGCAGCCCGAAGCCGCGCGCCGCCAUUGUCAGAGCAGCAGACGCGCGGAGCCGAAAGGUCAGCGUGCUUCCGCGCAUGCGCCCUGAGGUGAAAGGGAUGGGAGCCCUUGAGAGUCAAACUAGACGAAAGACGUUCGUUUUAUAGAACUAGAAAGUUGUGAAAUUGUGGCCAGAAUCCAGACGCUUGAGCUUUCGAAUACGCUCACAGUUCUCUAAACGAAGAGCCCUGUCGGGCUCCUACUCUUUGAAAUAGUGUCCAGAGAAUUAAGCCAGAAAGCAAGGUCAUGACGGAGGAGCACUGAAUUGGGAGUCAGGAGUCUAGACACACAAAAAUUACCUAACGUUAACACGAGAAAGCAUUUAACGUGAUCUGAAUUUUAGCGUUUACACGUCUCAUUCAAAACUCACCGCACUGUUUACUUGUGAGGAAAAGAAGAAAGAAAGAAAAGAUCCUUGGAGGAGGCAAGAGAGCGAGAUUGCUUUGCCGUGUUUCUUUCCUCCGCAGGCUGCUGUACCCUCUUGGAGCAUUUGUAACUGGCUCCCUCAGGAGAUGCUCCUGCCAAGCUGUCUUCUUGUGGGUGGAAGUGCCUGCCCCUGCCAGGGCUUGCAAGGCAGCAGAAACCAACCACUAGCUGGAUGGGGACCUCAGGAUGGAGCCCAUGUGCACUCUCCGUGGCAAGCCACUUCUGUUUGGUCUAUGGCAACCCAGCUGGGUUAGGGAGAGAAGCCUCCCGGCAAAGACUUACAGUUAAAAGCUCAAUGUUCUUACCUGUUCCAAUGUACUAAAAAAUGAGCACUCUAUAUAGGUCCCAGGGAUUCAAAAACAUGCCUUUAAAUGGAUCUUUCUAAAGAAACUGUUAAGAUCUCCCUAAAGCCUCUGCAAACUAUGUCAGACAUUCAACAGUUUCCUAGCUGGGUAUUUCCUUAAUAAUGUCUUUUUUCUUAUCAAUAUUAGAUAUUUUUCCAAGAACUCAAGGGAGAUUUGCAGCGGGAUAAUCCAGUUCAUAUGGUAAAAAUGAAACCACUACCACAGAGCUUGUGAUGCAAUAAAGUAAGCGUAAUAAAAGAGCCACCAAAGGAAA